AGUUGUAAUUUGAUUUAAUUCUAAGAAUACACCCGUGGUAUCAAGAUCUGCCCCAUCUAAACUCAUAGCACUAUAUAAACUCGUCUCAUCCAAACAUGUUCUACUAUGUAAACCCGUCUCAUCUAAAUCCAUCCUGCAAUAUUAAUCCGUCCCCUGAUAACUAAAAAUUAAAUUGUUCUUUUCUUAUUUUUAAUAAUAUUUUU
rnacentral:sRNA from 1 species